AAUGAACGCUGGCGGUAUGCCUAACACAUGCAAGUCGAACGGCAGCACAAUAAGCUCUUUCUCUUACGGUUGGCGAGUGACGGACGGGUAACGCAUACAUCGCAAUCUACUUUUUCGUGGGUGAUAACGUAGAGCCACUUCUACUACUAGCUCAUAUAUCCAACCGCUUGAAUCAAUGGAUCAUCACGCCUUUCCUGUCUCUAUUAGCCGGUUUCGCGCCGGAUUAGCUAGUUGGUAAGGUAACGGCGUAGCAACGCGACGAUGCGUAGCCGACCUGAGAGGAUGAUCAGCCACACUGGAACUGAGACACGGUCCAGACUCCUACGGGAGGCAGCAGUAGGGAAUAUUCGGCAAUGGGCGAAAGCCUGACGGAGCAAUGCCGCGUGAGUGAAGAAGGCCUUCGGAUUGUAAAGCUCUGUUGUUAGGAAAGAAAAGAAGUAGAAGUAAACAUGGACGUUUUGACGGUACCCAAAGAAAAAGCAACGGCUAACUACGUG
rnacentral:rRNA from 1 species